rnacentral:rRNA from 1 species
CGAUGAUCAGGAGCUUGCUCCUGUGAUUAGUGGCGAACGGGUGAGUAACACGUGAGUAACCUGCCCCUGACUCUGGGAUAAGCGUUGGAAACGACGUCUAAUACUGGAUAUGAUCACUGGUCGCAUGGCCUGGUGGUGGAAAGAUUUUUUGGUUGGGGAUGGACUCGCGGCCUAUCAGCUUGUUGGUGAGGUAAUGGCUCACCAAGGCGACGACGGGUAGCCGGCCUGAGAGGGUGACCGGCCACACUGGGACUGAGACACGGCCCAGACUCCUACGGGAGGCAGCAGUGGGGAAUAUUGCACAAUGGGCGAAAGCCUGAUGCAGCAACGCCGCGUGAGGGAUGACGGCCUUCGGGUUGUAAACCUCUUUUAGUAGGGAAGAAGGGAGCUUCGGUUCUUGACGGUACCUGCAGAAAAAGCACCGGCUAACUACGUGCCAGCAGCCGCGGUAAUACGUAGGGUGCAAGCGUUGUCCGGAAUUAUUGGGCGUAAAGAGCUCGUAGGCGGUUUGUCGCGUCUGCUGUGAAAUCCCGAGGCUCAACCUCGGGCUUGCAGUGGGUACGGGCAGACUAGAGUGCGGUAGGGGAGAUUGGAAUUCCUGGUGUAGCGGUGGAAUGCGCAGAUAUCAGGAGGAACACCGAUGGCGAAGGCAGAUCUCUGGGCCGUAACUGACGCUGAGGAGCGAAAGCAUGGGGAGCGAACAGGAUUAGAUACCCUGGUAGUCCAUGCCGUAAACGUUGGGCGCUAGAUGUAGGGACCUUUCCACGGUUUCUGUGUCGUAGCUAACGCAUUAAGCGCCCCGCCUGGGGGAGUACGGCCGCAAGGCUAAAACUCAAAGGAAUUGACGGGGGCCCGCACAAGCGGCGGAGCAUGCGGAUUAAUUCGAUGCAACGCGAAGAACCUUACCAAGGCUUGACAU